ensembl:lncRNA
AAAGCAGAGAUCUACACUGAUUCCUGACACCGUGGGGAGCCCGCACUGAAGUCUGUCGACAGCCCUCUCUAGGUAGAGGUGAAAGCCCAAGAGCGUAAAAAAUUCGGGUCUUGGCCAGUAUUUUUAUCAGUGGUCCACGGCGGUGGGAUUCAGUGGAAUGAUCUAACGAAACCGGCUGCAAUGACGUUUCAGUAAGGUUGAAGCCAGGUGACUGGAUCCUAAUCAGGGUACUCCAGAGGAAAAAUUGGAGCUCACCCCGUUGGGAGGGACCAUACCAAGUGCUUUUAACCACGCCGACUGCCUGCAAGAUUGCAGAAAGACCAUCCUGGAUUCACCAAAGCCACUGUAAGAAAAACUGGACGGGUAUGUGUGCUCCAAUCUUCAUAUCUGAUCACACGUUUAAGAUAACUACCGAC